AGUGAACGCUGGCGACAGGCCUAACACAUGCAAGUCGAACGGCAGCACAGUAAGAGCUUGCUCUUACGGGUGGCGAGUGGCGGACGGGUGAGGAAUACAUCGGAAUCUACUUUUUCGUGGGGGAUAACGUAGGGAAACUUACGCUAAUACCGCAUACGACCUACGGGUGAAAGCAGGGGAUCUUCGGACCUUGCGCGAUUGAAUGAGCCGAUGUCGGAUUAGCUAGUUGGCGGGGUAAAGGCCCACCAAGGCGACGAUCCGUAGCUGGUCUGAGAGGAUGAUCAGCCACACUGGAACUGAGACACGGUCCAGACUCCUACGGGAGGCAGCAGUGGGGAAUAUUGGACAAUGGGCGCAAGCCUGAUCCAGCCAUACCGCGUGGGUGAAGAAGGCCUUCGGGUUGUAAAGCCCUUUUGUUGGGAAAGAAAAGCAGCAGGUUAAUACCCCGCUGUUCUGACGGUACCCAAAGAAUAAGCACCGGCUAACUUCGUG
rnacentral:rRNA from 1 species